AGUGAACGCUGGCGGUAGGCCUAACACAUGCAAGUCGAACGGCAGCACAGUAAGAGCUUGCUCUUACGGGUGGCGAGUGGCGGACGGGUGAGGAAUACAUCGGAAUCUACUUUUUCGUGGGGGAUAACGUAGGGAAACUUACGCUAAUACCGCAUACGACCUACGGGUGAAAGCAGGGGAUCUUCGGACCUUGCGCGAUUGAAUGAGCCGAUGUCGGAUUAGCUAGUUGGCGGGGUAAAGGCCCACCAAGGCGACGAUCCGUAGCUGGUCUGAGAGGAUGAUCAGCCACACUGGAACUUAGACACGGUCCAGACUCCUACGGGAGGCAGCAGUGGGGAAUAUUGGUCAAUGGGCGCAAGCCUGAUCCAGCCAUACCGCGUGGGUGAAGAAGGCCUUCGGGUUGUAAAGCCCUUUUGUUGGGAAAGAAAAGCAGCAGGUUAAUACCCCGCUGUUCUGACGGUACCCAAAGAAUAAGCACCGGCUAACUUCGUG
rnacentral:rRNA from 1 species